rnacentral:rRNA from 1 species
AUUGAACACUGGCGGCAGGCCUAACACAUGCAAGUCGAGCGGAUGAAGGGAGCUUGCUCCUGGAUUCAGCGGCGGACGGGUGAGUAAUGCCUAGGAAUCUGCCUGGUAGUGGGGGAUAACGUCCGGAAACGGGCGCUAAUACCGCAUACGUCCUGAGGGAGAAAGUGGGGGAUCUUCGGACCUCACGCCAUCAGAUGAGCCUAGGUCGGAUUAGCUAGUUGGUGGGGUAAAGGCCUACCAAGGCGACGAUCCGUAACUGGUCUGAGAGGAUGAUCAGUCACACUGGAACUGAGACACGGUCCAGACUCCUACGGGAGGCAGCAGUGGGGAAUAUUGGACAAUGGGCGAAAGCCUGAUCCAGCCAUGCCGCGUGUGUGAAGAAGGUCUUCGGAUUGUAAAGCACUUUAAGUUGGGAGGAAGGGCAGUAAGUUAAUACCUUGCUGUUUUGACGUUACCAACAGAAUAAGCACCGGCUAACUUCGUG